CACGUCGUUAGUCACUCACUU
rnacentral:miRNA from 1 species